UACGUAGGGGGCAAGCGUUGUCCGGAUUUAUUGGGCGUAAAGAGCGUGUAGGCGGCCUGAAAGGUCAGCUGUGAAAACUCGAGGCUCAACCUCGAGACGUCGGUCGAAACCAUCUGGCUAGAGUCCGGAAGAGGAGAGUGGAAUUCCCGGGUGUAGCGGUGAAAUGCGCAGAUAUCGGGAAGAACACCCGUGGCGAAGGCGGCUCUCUGGGACGGUACUGGACGCUGAGACGGCGAAAGCGUGGGAGCGAACGAGG
rnacentral:rRNA from 1 species